AUAAUGGGUCAGCGACUUAUAUUCUGUAGCAAGGUUAACCGAAUAGGGGAGCCGAAGGGAAACCGAGUCUUAACUGGGCGUUAAGUUGCAGGGUAUAGACCCGAAACCCGGUGAUCUAGCCAUGGGCAGGUUGAAGGUUGGGUAACACUAACUGGAGGACCGAACCGACUAAUGUUGAAAAAUUAGCGGAUGACUUGUGGCUGGGGGUGAAAGGCCAAUCAAACCGGGAGAUAGCUGGUUCUCCCCGAAAGCUAUUUAGGUAGCGCCUCGUGAAUUCAUCUCCGGGGGUAGAGCACUGUUUCGGCAAGGGGGUCAUCCCGACUUACCAACCCGAUGCAAACUGCGAAUACCGGAGAAUGUUAUCACGGGAGACACACGGCGGGUGCUAACGUCCGUCGUGAAGAGGGAAACAACCCAGACCGCCAGCUAAGGUCCCAAAGUCAUGGUUAAGUGGGAAACGAUGUGGGAAGGCCCAGACAGCCAGGAUGUUGGCUUAGAAGCAGCCAUCAUUUAAAGAAAGCGUAAUAGCUCACUGGUCGAGUCGGCCUGCGCGGAAGAUGUAACGGGGCUAAACCAUGCACCGAAGCUGCGGCAGCGACGCUUAUGCGUUGUUGGGUAGGGGAGCGUUCUGUAAGCCUGCGAAGGUGUGCUGUGAGGCAUGCUGGAGGUAUCAGAAGUGCGAAUGCUGACAUAAGUAACGAUAAAGCGGGUGAAAAGCCCGCUCGCCGGAAGACCAAGGGUUCCUGUCCAACGUUAAUCGGGGCAGGGUGAGUCGACCCCUAAGGCGAGGCCGAAAGGCGUAGUCGAUGGGAAACAGGUUAAUAUUCCUGUACUUGGUGUUACUGCGAAGGGGGGACGGAGAAGGCUAUGUUGGCCGGGCGACGGUUGUCCCGGUUUAAGCGUGUAGGCUGGUUUUCCAGGCAAAUCCGGAAAAUCAAGGCUGAGGCGUGAUGACGAGGCACUACGGUGCUGAAGCAACAAAUGCCCUGCUUCCAGGAAAAGCCUCUAAGCAUCAGGUAACAUCAAAUCGUACCCCAAACCGACACAGGUGGUCAGGUAGAGAAUACCAAGGCGCUUGAGAGAACUCGGGUGAAGGAACUAGGCAAAAUGGUGCCGUAACUUCGGGAGAAGGCACGCUGAUAUGUAGGUGAAGUCCCUCGCGGAUGGAGCUGAAAUCAGUCGAAGAUACCAGCUGGCUGCAACUGUUUAUUAAAAACACAGCACUGUGCAAACACGAAAGUGGACGUAUACGGUGUGACGCCUGCCCGGUGCCGGAAGGUUAAUUGAUGGGGUUAGCGCAAGCGAAGCUCUUGAUCGAAGCCCCGGUAAACGGCGGCCGUAACUAUAACGGUCCUAAGGUAGCGAAAUUCCUUGUCGGGUAAGUUCCGACCUGCACGAAUGGCGUAAUGAUGGCCAGGCUG
rnacentral:rRNA from 1 species